rnacentral:rRNA from 1 species
AGUGAACGCUGGCGGUAGGCCUAACACAUGCAAGUCGAACGGCAGCACAGUAAGAGCUUGCUCUUACGGGUGGCGAGUGGCGGACGGGUGAGGAAUACAUCGGAAUCUACUUUUUCGUGGGGGAUAACGUAGGGAAACUUCCGCUAAUACCGCAUACGACCUACGGGUGAAAGCAGGGGAUCUUCGACCCUUGCCCGAUUGAUUGAGCCGAGGUCGGAUUAGCUAGUUGGCGGGGUAAAGGCCCACCAAGGCGACGAUCCGUAGCUGGUCUGAGAGGAUGAUCAGCCACACUGGAACUGAGACACGGUCCAGACUCCUACGGGAGGCAGCAGUGGGGAAUAUUGGACAAUGGGCGCAAGCCUGAUCCAGCCAUACCGCGUGGGUGAAGAAGGCCUUCGGGUUGUAAAGCCCUUUUGUUGGGAAAGAAAAGCAGCAGGUUAAUACCCCGCUGUUCUGACGGUACCCAAAGAAUAAGCACCGGCUAACUUCGUG